AGAAACUCUAUGAUUCAUGGCUUGUAAAACACUGCAUGUGUUCAUUUUUAUAACAAAACUCUACAGUGAUCUUUAUCAGCAAAUACAGCUGAUGUGCUCUCAAAAACAUAUCUUGCAGGAAAUUACUUUAUGAUGGAUUUUUAGCGCUUAAAUUAUUCCUCUGUUAGCUGAUUAGUCAAUCACUGCAAACUGAUUCCAAUGUACUCAAGUAAAUAGAGCUUUUGUUAUAAUUAUAGUGUAGAUAAAUGGUUGUUUAAACAAAAGACAAUCAAUUAAAGUAGCUCCAAUCAAUAUUUUAAGAUUAACAAUUGGUCAAUUGACUGCAUGUACAACCCUGAUUCUACAAAAAUAGUUAGGACAUUGUGUAAAACAUAAAUAAAACCAGAAUGCAAUGAUUUGCAAAUCCCUUUGACCUAUAUUUAAUUGAACACAGUCCAAGGACCAGAUUUUUAAUGUUCAAACUGAUAAAUCUUAUUGUUUUUUUUGUAAACAUACACUCAUUCUAAAUUUGAUGCCUGCCACACAUUCUAAAAAAGUUGAAACAGAGACAUGUUUACCACUGUGUGACAUCGCCUUUUCUUUUAACAACACUCAAUAAGUGGGAACUGAGGACACAAACUGUUGAAGUUUUGAAAGUGAAAUUCUUUACCAUUUUCAGCUUCAGUUGCUACACAGUCUGGCGUCUCUGUUGUCAUAUUUUGUGCUGUUGGAAUACGUGCAGAAUGUGUCUCAUUGUCUCACUGGAAUAAGCAGGAAUGUCCCUGAAAAAGACAUCAUCUGGAUGGCAGCAUAUGCUGCUCCAAAACCUGUAUGUACCUUUCAGCAUUCAUGGUGCCUUCACAGAUGUGCAAGUUCGCCAUGAUGCCAUGGGCACUAACCAGAGUUGGGUAUAACGUGUUACAAAGUAAUGCGUUAGAGUACUUUGAUUACUUUUUGCAGUAACGAGUAACCUAAUGUGUUAGUUUGCUGUUUGAGUAAUCAGAUACUUGAGUACAUUUUCAAACAAGCCAUCAGUUACUUCCAUUACUUUUAGAACACUGGUCUUUUGGUUCUAAUAACGGAGAUAAUGUUAAACCUAUCCGUCUGAAAGAAGUCAUGAAGCUUGUGGCUAGCUACGUGGUAGAAGAAAUGCUGCCAUUGUCUACAGUGGAGUCUCCGCAGGACCGUCAAUAAAAUCCCCACAGCUCAAUAGAUGGAGGAGGACUCGCUGACUCAGGUCAGACUCAGAAGGACUUGCAUUAUGCCUGGUACACACACUACACGACUUUUCUGCCCGUUCUGAAAGUCACUAUGUCACAUUACACGAUUGUGGAGUCAUAAAAUCGUGCCGUGACUUGGCUGACAGAUAUUACACACUACACGAUGGUACUCACCAAUUAUCCCCGGUUGUCUUUCAUGUCAUUGGGUUAUUUUUGUCCUAUUUUUAUUACUUUUACUAUUAUUUGAGUCAUUGUGUCUGUUCAUGUGCCAGCGGAAAUGUUGUUGUAGUCACCUAAAAGCGUCAGCAGAUGGCAGGAGCUACAUUUGAAGCACCGUAUGCAAAUAUUCAAGCUACUGUAUCCUCCACAACAAGUUCCUACAAAUGUUUCACAAUAAAAGCCUAUUUAGAAAAUGGAGGGAUUCUCUCAGCCGAAGUUAUAAGGGGCUUUUAAUUUGAAACAAAUUCAGGAAGUGUUGAGUUUGAAAUGACGGUGCAAUGUGUUAAUUUUAUAAAGACAACGGGAAUGGAUAAAAAGUAAAUAUAUAAAAACACAGAGGGAUUAAUAAAUAACGGACCUUCUAUAAUCAGCUUGACAAACAAAUCCUCCGCACACUGACAUAGAUUUUACUAUACUUUAUUUGAGCGUUGUUCCAGCGUUGUCAAGUAUAGUAAAGUCUAUGUCAGCGUGCGGAGGAUUUGUUUGUCAAGCUGAUUACACACGUUCCUGCUGCCUACCAGCACCUGACUACCUGUGGCUGUGCAAGGAGAUUUCAUUGAUUCCAGGACCUUCCAUAACGUAGACUGUUUAAAAUGAAGCUGGUAGCCUCUGCAGUUGUGGUGAAUAAAAGCUCCGCAAAUAUUUGUUAAUGUUAUUACUUUAUAUCCGAUUGUGAGGAUUUAACAUUGUUUGCUAGCUUGAUGCUAAUAACAGUACUCAGUGGGUUGACAAAGUGCCUCUGCUGUUUUCACGCUAUCAUUUUCCCCUUUUACUGCUUUUACUGUCGUGGUAACAUCCCUCAAGGAAAUAUUAAAAAGGCUGGGGUGUUGUUGUCAGUUGUCUACGGCAGCAGAUCACUCUGUGUUUCUACUGGUCAAAGUGAUGGCUGUGAUGGGAGAAUUGGAUCUCAGUGAAGGGCAAGUGGUCCAUAACUUUAAUUUUGGAGACAAAAAAAUGUAGGCUAAGCACCCUGUGGUCCAUUGCCCAAUAGGAAAUGUAGAAUACUCAAAAGUACUUUAAAAAUACUUGAGUUACUUUUCUCAGGGAGUAACGUUGGAAGUACUUUAAAAGUACUUGAGUCACUUUUUUCAGGGAGUAACUUUGUAAAGUAACUGGUAGGGCUGUAGUCAACCAAAGAAAAUCUUGGUCCACUGAAGUCCACUGAAAAAAAAAUCUGCACGUUAUUUUCACUUCUGCGGUGGUGUGUCUGUACCACUCUGCAAUUACACCUCCAAAACAAUAGUCGGCGGUGGAAGACUGUGUUAAGUGCUGUAAAGUUUAGUUCAAAUCAAACUUUAUUUAUAUAGUUGAUUCAAAACACACAUUAAAUAUAGCUUAAAGCUAUAGUUGGUAAUGUUGGAGAGCUAGCAAGAAUUGAAAGUGGCACCUCCUCUAAGCUCCGCCCCUUCCUCCCCCUCCCGUCAGUGCUCCGUCCAAAGGCCACGGCCCCACAAACUUGAACGCGCAUCCUGCAGUCGGAGUCAGCUGCAGGGCACAGGACAGCCGAGUAUUUCAGCACAUUUUGGACAUCAACCAAACUACCUCUUGUCUCAGUCACCUAGCUUCCAUGAUGAGAGCACUGGCUCUGAUCCUACUUACAGUCCACAGCCAAGCACGUCUUCAGGUCAAAGAGGACAGGUCUGAGGUCGUGCUCAAGCAAGAGGAGGCUGUGCUAGAGGGGGUGCACUGGGUAGAAGCCGAGGAAGUCGAGGUAGAGGACGGGGAGCAAGCCGGACUGUGACCGGAGAACAACUUUGACAUGAGGAUAUUCUGCGAGUGGAGAAUCUGCAAGCUCAAAGAAUUGCAGAUGAGCAGGCUAGAAUUCAAACACUGAGCUUGGAAGAAUCCCAUCAGUUGCUGCAGAUCUGCCUGACAAGGGACCCAAGCCUCAUGUUUGAUCUCCUCCACAUGUUAACAUCAGGAAAUGCUCCUCCACCAGGCCCUCCAGCUCCGGGUCAACCCACUUGGUGUGUGUGCCGAAACUGCCAUGAGAUGCCCACGGAUGUAGAAAGAAAGUGCUGUGGGCAACAGCACGACUCCUGCAUUUCCAUGCUGCCUCACAUGGAAGUGUACAUUUUGCAGGAGGGGGUCUUGAGACUUGCCAGAAGGAUCUGGAAUGAUGUCCGGGCUGUGGAGGAUCUUCCAGACCCAGGGGAGAGCAAUAAAAAAUUCUGCUAUGCAGCAUACCGGCAAUAUGUUGUGUGGCAAUAUGGGGCACUGGGAGCUGGGCACAGAGUAGUAAUAUCUAGUUGCUGUGUUUGGAAAAUUAGAAACUGCUACCCAGAUCCACAUUGAUAGUAUACAGGUUUCAUCCCUAGUAGGGUGUAAGCACAGUGCAAUAAAUAGCAUUCACUCUUGGGCCCUGCUGUUUAUUCUGUGUACUGCUUUACAUAUUGUUCCUGUAAAAUUUGCACUGAGGUGUACAGUCUGUACAGUUCAAAUUUCUGUUUAUUUAUAUUUUGUCACGUUGGAAUAAAAAUUUGAAAAUGAUAAAUGACUUUCCUUUACCAUUUCAGCAUAAACAAGCUAUUACAUUUCUU